rnacentral:tRNA from 1 species
GCUAGCGUAGCUUAACUAAAGCAUAACACUGAAAAUGUUAAGACGGACCCUAAAAAGGCCCCGUAAGCA